CGAACUACCGCUUUCCCCGUAACCAGGGAGACUGCAGUUUGCAGUGAUGUGGCUAAGAUACCCUUGUGCUAUUAAAGGCACAUUUACGUAUCUUUCAACGCAGUUUGUACCUUUGUUUAGGGUUCUAUUGAACUUUCUCUGUGCUCUUUAGAAAACCGUCGAAUAAAGGUAACCAUCUUUUUGGGUGCCUGGGCAUGGUCAUUGUCCCAGAGUUUUAACAGAAGUCUCUACUAAAGUAUCCUGAUUUGCAAGAACUCAAAUGAUGCUGUUUUUGGACAGGGAGGUCAUGGACCAAGUACAAAGCGGCAAAAGGAUGGAAUUAAGGUACCUGACAUUGUUGAACCCAUGCCUGAUGCCACAUUAGCUCAGGACUACCUACAUGGACAUGGAUAUUUCCAGUGAAAGAAAGAAGAAAGCAUGCUUUUCUCUUGACUGUGCAGAAAAAAAAACUAUGUUUCUUUGAUUCUCCAUUUUACUAGAUGCCAUACCUUUGCAAUUACUUCAUGUGGAGUCUUGACCAAGAUUCAGGAAAUACUAGAACUUUCAGUCCCAGAAGGUUACUCUGGGCAUUACUAGUCCCCAUCAUUAUGAGUUGAGUUUUACUAGUUAAUUUCAGACGAAAAAUAUUUGUUUUUCCCCAAAUUCUGGGGUUACGUACUUUUACUACCUAUGAACUGACAACUGUAUCUUCAGUAAUUACAAUUUCCAACAAAAUGUUAUAGGAAUAAAGAAAAGAUGUUAGUUCAUUAUUCAGAGUUUAUGUUUAUUCCUUUAAUAAAAAGAAAUGGUCUGUAUUUCUUCUUUUCACAUUUAUUUCCUCAGUUCAAACCUGCUUUUCAGG
rnacentral:lncRNA from 10 species